GACGAACGCUGGCGGCGUGCCUAACACAUGCAAGUCAACUUGACUGAAGGAGCAAUCUGACAGUAGAGUGGCGCAAGGGUGCGUAACGCGUAAGUAACUUGCCCAAGGUAAGGAAUAACGUCGAGAAAUCGGCGCUAAUACCUCAUAAUGCAGCGGAUCCGCAUGGAUAUGUUGUUAAAGGUUUACCGCCUUGGGAUAGGCUUGCGUCUGAUUAGCUAGUUGGUGUGGUAACGGCACACCAAGGCUACGAUCAGUAACUGGUCUGAGAGGAUGAUCAGUCACACUGGAACUGAGACACGGUCCAGACUCCUACGGGAGGCAGCAGUGAGGAAUAUUGGGCAAUGCUCGAAAGAGUGACCCAGCAACGCCGCGUGGAGGAUGAAGGUAUUCUAUAUCGUAAACUCCUGUGAGAGCAGACGAAGACAGAUUAUUAAUCUGGAUGACUGUAUGCUCAGAGGAAGCCCCGG
rnacentral:rRNA from 1 species